UCCGAUCGCUUCAACUGGCAACAUCGGCGGAGUGGCAACCCAACCUUGGUGCCCAAAAAAUCUUUCCCGAAAAAGCAAAGUUCAAGUGGAAGUCACCGACAUCGGCGGGCACCGAACCAUUGCGUCUAGAUCCCCAUAGUGACAUACCGGGGCCGGCAUUCAGCAGUCACCGCGCAGCUUACUCGAGUACAGUUUUUGGGGGAAAAUUUAUCGAGAGAAAGGAAAAUCUCCGCCGCGACUUCGAGCAGCCGUGUUUUUGUAGGUCAACAGCCACAGCUUUUCCCGGCAAUUAAUCAUCAGCCUCGAGUGGAGCGGAGCGCCGUAGUCAAAUCGUUGUUGGCUUUCGCGGUUGUUUUCUUGCGGGGAAAAAGUUUCACGAGCCACCCUUUGCCACGGAAAAUCAGACUUCGAGCCUGAAAAUGAUUGCCACCGCCAGUAUGCUGUUUAAGAUGCUGCUAUUGACCUCGUUUCUGUCGCAACUGGCGUACUGUCAGCCGCCUGGUUCGGCACGCAACCGACGAGCAGCUGCUACCACCACGGACCCAUUGUUGACGGACGGUAUCGAGCCGAAAGCUGCGGCGACCAGCAUCAGCAGCAGCAGCAGCAGCAGCACUAACCAAGAGGCGGACGGUAGUUCACCGAGAACUCAGCGCAGCUACUACGCCGGCAGUACCUAUGGUGGAAGCUCCAGUGAACGAUUGUUUGACUUUGGGCUGCUUGGCAAACCCUACUAUGCGGGCAAUCGCGGUGGUUACUAUCCAUCGGGAAGCUACUAUCCAUCGGGCAGCUACUACCCGCAGGGUGGUUACCUACCACAGGGCGGCUACUAUCCGCAGGUCGGCGGCUAUCCGAGCGGCGGUUACUUCCCGGGUACGAACACGCUCGGUGUUGGUGGAAUCGGCGGCGGCGUCGGCGGCGUCUACGGUGGAUACGGUGGCUACGGAGGAUUCGGAGGUAACGGGGGACUACAGUCGUACUAUGGCUACAACAACGAUGGGUACUAUGGCAACCGCAAUCUAGGCUACGGUUACUACAGUGGGACCACACCGUCCGGUUACAUUGGCUCGUCCCUAGUCAGCGGUUUCCGUGGCUACAACUGAACGCCAUCCUGCCUCCCAGCAUUCCUUUACCUAUUUCCCGUGCUUCCUAUUUGUAUGUGUGUCUGUGCGUCUGUGUGAUGUUGUGGCUUAAAAUGUAAGCGUGUCCGAUACAUGUCUGUCUGUGUUCAAGUGUUACGCUGCGUUAACGAAGGAAUUGCAGAACAAGCUGGUAGAAUCUCGGGUAAUCAGAAUGUGCGUCCUGGUGUAUUAGGACCGUUCUAGUUGCCUGCCGAGAAGUUGAAGCCGCAUUGCCAAUAAGCUCGAGGGGAAAUCAAUUGUAAUUUCAUUCUGCAGUAUCAUGAAAGCAUUUCAACAGUUGUUAAUGAAUUUAAAACAUUAGUACGAUGGAGUUGAUUACGAACCAUUUUAUCGCGGACAUUUGUGAUCCUUUUUAUCAACUUGUUGAACCACUUUGUUCUGCGGGCUGUUUUGCUCCCAUAACUUUCUCAGAAAAUUCCAUUUAAUUUGUAAACCUCUUUAGAAGUGUUCCUCGGCGCUCUGAAUGAGUAGAGCACAUUCUUAGCUAAUCAGAACAAUGUUGAAAUAUAAUCUAAUCAAAUUAGAUGCCAA